rnacentral:rRNA from 1 species
AUUGAACGCUGGCGGCAGGCCUAACACAUGCAAGUCGAACGAGUGGCGGACGGGUGAGUAAUGCCUGGGAAACUGCCUGAUGGAGGGGGAUAACUACUGGAAACGGUAGCUAAUACCGCAUACCAUCAGAUGUGCCCAGAUGGGAUUAGCUUGUUGGUGGGGUAACGGCUCACCAAGGCGACGAUCCCUAGCUGGUCUGAGAGGAUGAACAGCCACACUGGAACUUAGGCACGGUCCAUACUCCUGCGGGAGGCAGCAGUGGGGAAUAUUGCACAAUGGGCGAAAGCCUGAUGCAGCCAUGCCGCGGGUAUGAAGAAGGCCUUCGGGUUGUAAAGUACUUUCAGCUGGGAGGCGUUACCCACAGAAGAAGCACCGGCUAACUCCGUGCCAGCAGCCGCGGUAAUUC